UACGUAGGGGGCGAGCGUUGUCCGGAUUUAUUGGGCGUAAAGAGCGUGUAGGCGGCCAGGUAGGUCUGCUGUGAAAACUCGAGGCUCAACCUCGAGACGUCGGCGGAAACCAUCUGGCUAGAGUCCGGAAGAGGAGAGUGGAAUUCCUGGUGUAGCGGUGAAAUGCGCAGAUAUCAGGAAGAACACCCGUGGCUAAGGCGGCUCUCUAGUACGGUACUGACGCUGAGACGCGAAAAGCGUGGGGAGCGAACAGG
rnacentral:rRNA from 1 species